AUAUGGUCCCCAUGGCCAGUAAAGAGGAAAAUCUCUUGUGCAUGCAGUUACAGAAGUUCAAAGUCAGCAAAUAGAUGAGAGAAAGAAAAUGAAAAGGAUUUGCAAACUAUAAAUCUCUAAGCAGAUGGGAGGAAAGGAAUUGAUGAAACAAUAAAUGAGACAAUAGAAACCAUAAAGAACCCAGGGUGAGGAAACAGAAACUCAUGAAAAUGAAGAAACUCAUCUAAGGUUUCUCUGCAAAUACAUGG